rnacentral:rRNA from 1 species
UACGAGGGGGGCAAGCGUUGUUCGGAAUUAUUGGGCGUAAAGGGUGCGUAGGCGGCCGGGUAAGUCUGAUGUGAAAUCCCGCAGCUCAACUGCGGAACUGCAUCGGAUACUCUCCGGCUAGAGGAAUGGAGGGGAGACUGGAAUUCUCGGUGUAGCAGUGAAAUGCGUAGAUAUCGAGAGGAACACCAGUGGCGAAGGCGAGUCUCUGGACAUUUCCUAACGCUGAGGCACGAAAGCCAGGGGAGCAAACGGG